CCCUUCUCCACCUCUGAUUAGAGCGGCGCGGCCGCAGUUGCUUGGAGUCGUGAUGGAGACAAGGAAGCGCGCGAGGUGCGCGGCGGCGCUUGGCCUGGAGGCGCGACGGUGGCGUGGCACUCGGCCAGGAGGUGUGCGGGGGCGGCACGGCCUGGAGGCGUGCGGUGGCGCUCGGCUUGGAGCGUGUUUCUUUCUUUUUUUGACAAAUGCUUGGACCUUGCUUUGGUUUGGGUCUCGGUCCUCUGUUGGAGAAGUUUUGGGGUUUGGUCUAUUUACUGUACGUGACCUUUAUUGUGUAAUGGGUCUCUAGUGUGGGUUUCAAUUGUUGGAGUCAGUCUAAGGAUAAAAAGUGACUUCUUGUCUUAUGUUUGAGCCUAGGUUUUGGAUUGGUGUCUCCAUACUUCCUCUAAUAAUUUGACGAUGCCUCGAAUAACUGUCCAAUGCCAACUUCCUUUGCGACGAAGAACUCACAUACACACAAGAGAAAUGAUAGGGUUUUUAGGGAGGUGACCUCUACAGGCAACAACUCAUGUCGUUGAUUCGAGCCGGAGAGGAAUUCUGAAUUGAGACUAGGGCUCGUGGGAUGGAUAACCUGUUCGUCGCACUUAAGCUAAGGGGUAUUUGGUUAAGGUUGUUAAAGUUUGAUAGGUAAUGUAACAUUUUUGUUUUAUUUGGCAAAUAGUGUCCAAUCAUAGACUAAUUAGGCUCAAAAGAUUUGUCUCGUAAAUUAUUCUCUAACUGUAUUUUUAGAUUCGUAAAUAGUAUAUAUUUAGUAUUCCAUUCAUA